rnacentral:rRNA from 1 species
AUGGAUUCCAUCUUGACGAAUGAAACUUGGGAGAUAACUGAUCGUCCUUAUGGGUGCAAACCUAUAGGAUGCAAAUGGGUAUUCAAGAAGAAGCUUAGGCCUGAUGGUACUAUUGAAAAGUACAAGGCUCGGCUCGUGGCUAAGGGUUAUAUCCAAAAGGAAGGUGAAGACUUCUUUGAUACUUACUCACCUGUGGCUCGACUGACCACUAUUCGAGUUCUACUUUCACUAGCUGCCUCACAUGGUCUUCUCGUUCAUCAAAUGGAUGUUAAGACUGCUUUCCUAAAUGGAGAGCUGGACGAGGAAAUUUAUAUGGAACAACCAGAUGGGUUUGUACUAGAUGGCUUUGUUGUAAAUGAAGCUGACAAAUGUGUGUACUAUCGCCAUGGUGGGGGCGAGGGAGUUAUCCUUUGCUUGUAUGUUGAUGACAUACUGAUUUUCGGAACAAAUCUGAAUGUCAUUAAGGAGGUCAAGGACUUUCUAUCUCGCUGUUUUGAGAUGAAGGAUUUAGGAGUGGCUGAUGUCAUUCUGAACAUCAAGUUGUUGAGGAGACGGUGA